rnacentral:rRNA from 1 species
GAUGAACGCUAGCGAUAGGCUUAACACAUGCAAGUCGAGGGGCAGCAUGGUCUUAGCUUGCUAAGACUGAUGGCGACCGGCGCACGGGUGCGUAACGCGUAUGCAACUUGCCUCACAGAGGGGGAUAACCCGUCGAAAGACGGACUAAUACCGCGUACACUUGGGAUAGGGCAUCCUGACCCAAGGAAAUGAAAUUCGCUGUGAGAUAGGCAUGCGUCCCAUUAGCUAGUUGGUGAGGUAACGGCUCACCAAGGCGACGAUGGGUAGGGGAACUGAGGGGUUGAACCCCCACACUGGUACUGAGACACGGACCAGACUCCUACGGGAGGCAGCAGUGAGGAAUAUUGGUCAAUGGGCGAGAGCCUGAACCAGCCAAGUCGCGUGAAGGAUGACUGUCUUAUGGAUUGUAAACUUCUUUUAUACGGGAAUAACAAGAGCCACGUGUGGCUCCCUGCAUGUACCGUAUGAAUAAGCAUCGGCUAACUCCGUG